UAUUUCCCCAGCGAAACGUCAGACUCUUACUAACAUGGGCAAGGAAAGGACCAGCGUCAACAUGGCCGUCGUCGGCUACUACUAGACCUUUCUUCAGAUGGACGGCUAGUACAUCACGGAUAUGACCCGGCUUCUGUACACGGACACGAUCUGGAUACGGACAACACGAUGCUAGCUCUCCCGGACUACACCUCAACCUGAUUGGAUCUUUGUGUAGAGUUACUUUGACCAAAUAAAUCAAAAUUUUCAGUUUA